ACACUGACCUGGCAGGGGGACACCAUGAUCACGAGGGUGGGUUUCCAGGGCGAGGCUUAUCCAUCGCAUUCUGGAUGUCCUGACCCCUGCGAUCUCCCCAAAUGCGGGAAACUCGACUGCAUAAUUUGUGGUAGUGAGGGACUGCGUUUGUGCUUUCCCCUG
ensembl:snRNA U1 U1 spliceosomal RNA